ensembl:lncRNA
UUUACAUUUGAAGGCAUUCCUUUAGACAGAGCCAGCAGCUGUUUGCUUUUGAAUGGGAAGGUGCAGGAAUAUUUUCUGGCUGAAGACUUGGCCUGGGAGCAAACUUUUUCAGCUUGAUGCAGGAGGUUAGGGAGUGGUUCAGUUGCAUCCUGCAAAGACCAUCACACCUUGGACGACCCGCCUUUACCGAAGAUCAGCAGCCCCGACACCAAGACAUCGCUGGAUGAGAGGUAGCCAUGGAAGGAAAUGGCUGCCCCAGUUAGAAGCUGAGAAUGAAAUGACUCCUUUUCGGCUGCAGCAUUAGAGGGGCCUUCAGUAGACCAUGUGCUACAUGAGCACUCAUCUCAGCCUUGGGAACACUCCUGGGAUGCACUUUUUUUUCUCUAUCCAACCUCCAGGCGAUGAGGAGAAAGUGAAAUGAUAGUAGACAUGGUAGCAAAGCAAGAAUUCAGUAUCAUAGAAUCAUAGAAUGGCUUGGGUUGGGAGGGACCUCAAGACCAUCGUGUUCCAACCCCUUUGCCACAGGAGGACUCAGAACAGAAGAUAUAGUACUGGUUUUGCUAUGAUUGGAAUAAUAAAUUUAAAUUUAAG